GACGACCCUUUGAGGCGCGCCUAACACAUGCAAGUCGAACGAGCGAGAGAGAGCUUGCUUUCUCGAGCGAGUGGCGAACGGGUGAGUAACGCGUGAGGAACCUGCCUCAAAGAGGGGGACAACAGUUGGAAACGACUGCUAAUACCGCAUAAGCCCACGGGUCGGCAUCGACCAGAGGGAAAAGGAGCAAUCCGCUUUGAGAUGGCCUCGCGUCCGAUUAGCUAGUUGGUGAGGUAAUGGCCCACCAAGGCAACGAUCGGUAGCCGGACUGAGAGGUUGAACGGCCACAUUGGGACUGAGACACGGCCCAGACUCCUACGGGAGGCAGCAGUGGGGAAUAUUGCACAAUGGGGGAAACCCUGAUGCAGCGACGCCGCGUGGAGGAAGAAGGUCUUCGGAUUGUAAACUCCUGUUGUUGAGGAAGAUAAUGACGGUACUCAACAAGGAAGUGACGGCUAACUACGUGCCAGCAGCCGCGGUAAAACGUAGGUCACAAGCGUUGUCCGGAAUUACUGGGUGUAAAGGGAGCGCAGGCGGGAAGACAAGUUGGAAGUGAAAUCUAUGGGCUCAACCCAUAAACUGCUUUCAAAACUGUUUUUCUUGAGUAGUGCAGAGGUAGGCGGAAUUCCCGGUGUAGCGGUGGAAUGCGUAGAUAUCGGGAGGAACACCAGUGGCGAAGGCGGCCUACUGGGCACCAACUGACGCUGAGGCUCGAAAGUGUGGGUAGCAAACAGGAUUAGAUACCCUGGUAGUCCACACCGUAAAACGAUGAUUACUAGGGUGGGGGGAUGACCCCCUUCAGUGCCGCAGUUAACACAAAUAAAGUUAAUCCACCUGGGGAGUACGACCGCAAGGUUGAAACUCAAAGGAAUUGACGGGGGCCCGCACAAGCAGUGGAGUAUGUGGUUUAAUUCGACGCAACGCGAAGAACCUUACCAAGUCUUGACAUCCUGCGACGAUGCUGGAAACAGUAUUUUCCUUCGGGACGCAGAGACAGGUGGUGCAUGGUUGUCGUCAGCUCGUGUCGUGAGAUGUUGGGUUAAGUCCCGCAACGAGCGCAACCCUUACUGUCAGUUACUACGCAAGAGGACUCUGGCAGGACUGCCGUUGACAAAACGGAGGAAGGUGGGGAUGACGUCAAAUCAUCAUGCCCUUUAUGACUUGGGCUACACACGUACUACAAUGGCGUUAAACAAAGAGAAGCAAGACCGCGAGGUGGAGCAAAACUCAGAAACAACGUCCCAGUUCGGACUGCAGGCUGCAACUCGCCUGCACGAAGUCGGAAUUGCUAGUAAUCGUGGAUCAGCAUGCCACGGUGAAUACGUUCCCGGGCCUUGCACA
rnacentral:rRNA from 1 species